UACAUUUUUAUUUAUUUUUGCAACGGAUGAAAUACUUUCUUAAAGAAUUAUAACAAAGUACAUGUAUUAUUUAUUAUUUCUGUACAUUGCAGUUUUUUAUUUUUACAUAACAAUAAAGGGGAGUACUGCCGCUACAGCAUAUAACGGCAGGAGUGGAUUACAUUCGGGGCAAAGAAGUACAAUGGAGUGCCGCUAGAAAGGUUUGAGUUGCCGCUACAAGAAAGGUUUGUGUUGCCGCUACAGCCUAUAGCGGCAGGUGAUUUUUUUUUUUUAAUUUGUGUCGUCCAUUUUAUUAAUCAAGUGUGUAGAUCAUGGUUGUUAGAAAUAGUAACUUAGCAACCGGUUGAUACGGAUUAAUACCCUAUAUAUAUAUAUAUAUAUAUAUAUAUAUAUAUAUAUAUAUAUAUACAUCUCAAGUUAUAAGAACCCGCACAUUCUUCAUUUCAGCUGAAUGCAAGUUGACCAUGUAUCUCCAUUAAGCUCUAGUAUCUCACAGCAACAGUAAAGGGAGUCGUGCUCGCACAGAUGAAAAUGUUUGCUUCUAAAUGUAUAACCUAUAUAGAGUACAGCUGUUUCACCUGCAAGAAAGAAUUCCAUCAUGGUUCAGAAGUGAUUAGACACAUGAACUAUCUAGUAAAAAUAAGACUAUCCAAGAUUACAAAUUUGAAUUAUGGAAGUUCUACAAGAUCAAAAUAAUGAGCUGAAUAAUAUUUUAUAUAGUCCUGGGUUAUGAUGAACUGAUUGGAAUUUUUUUAUUUUGUUUUUUCAAAAUGAAAAUGAACAGAUUGGCAAUUUUGGACACCAACCACGUAAUUGAUUUCUCCAUCUAUUGCCAACUACUUAAUUAACCAUAAGAAGGCACAAGGCUUAGAAAAGACCUCUAUAACCGAGAAUCGAGUAUAAAAAAACUACUACCACAUAAGACUGGAUAAUUUAUAUACCAAAAGUCAAAUAACAUAUCAUCUAGUUCUUUCUUUUUUUUCCCUUUAUCAUCAGGCGGCAUAUACAACAGUAAAUGACAGAUUAUGCAGAAGAAGAAGAAGAAUGACAUUAAUAAGCCAAGCAACUAAAUUUCCCUAUCACUACUAAACCCAUGUGAACCAUUUGACCAUCGGAUAGAGAUUGACAUUAUCAAAUGAAAGUAUUACUUAAUCCAAAACAAUAAUGCUAGCAACACAUUCAGUGAAGGCAUAUAUCAUUUUGCUAACACAAGUCAAAUAAGUAUAUUUUGCUAACCAAAACCAAACAUGAAAAAACACCUAAUUCCUUUAAAAUUAGUCAUCAAAAUUCAAAAGUACUAAAAAUCAAAAAAUGGACAACCACUCCGUCAUAAAUCACCCCUUUCCCUGCCAUUCACUCUCCAACCAUAAAUCAAACCAGAUAUCAGAAAUGCUCAAGUACAACUUCAUGUCUGUUCUCACUCAAAUUUUAGGUCAUUUCUCCAAAUCUAAUUGUUCUUGAAACCCAAAUUCUAGCUUUACAAAUAAGCUAUGUACAUGUAAAACUUGCUAUAUCUAAAAUAAUAAGAUCUACCGAAAAUUAACUUACCCACAUAAAGAUUUAAAUAAACACUCGAAUAGGCAUAGCAUAUAUGUAGAUAUACCUUAAACAGUUCCCGGGUGCUCCUAAGAAAUCCAAGAUACAAUUUUUAUCCUCGAAUUUUGAAGCCCUGCUUCAGAUUCAAGAUCAGUUCCAAAUUACAAGCUAUUUCAACAACAAUAAUAAUAAUAAAUAAAUAAAAAGGAGUGUUUGUCAGAGAGUUAGAGAGAUAGUGUGACUAAGAGUUGAAGAAUUCUUUAAUGGGUUUUCCAUGGAAGCUUUAGCUAAGUAGGCAGUAGCUAAUGGACAUUAAUGGGGUUUAGAUAUAUUUAUGAUUAUUAUUGGAUAAAAUGCCGAGUAGUCAAAAGAGAUAAAUUUUCAAAAUAAUAGUCACGGAAAAUGGAAGUCAAAUCUGUUGAAUCUUGUGAUACGUUUUAAGGUGAUGUGGGUUGAAAAUUUUGCAAGAAAAAAAAAAAAGCUUUGUUUCACCGAAAGAUGGAGAAUUGGAGGAGACUACUGUAAGAGAUAGAGAAAAUGUGAGAGAGGGGAAAGAGUAAAAUCUCGGGAAAAAACACAGCAGAGCCCAUUUGUUUGGGAUUUAUAUUUUUGACUCUAUUAUUUUGGAAAACUAAAUUCAAAUAUAUGCAAAAAUGUUUGGUUUGAUGAAGGAAAAAAAAAAGCAUUUG
rnacentral:lncRNA from 1 species